rnacentral:rRNA from 1 species
GGCGGACGGGUGAGUAACGCGUAGGAAUCUGCCUAGUAGUGGGGGACAACAUGUGGAAACGCAUGCUAAUACCGCAUACGCCCUGAGGGGGAAAGGAGGGGAUCUUAGGACCUUUCGCUAUUAGAUGAGCCUGCGUGAGAUUAGCUAGUUGGUGAGGUAAAGGCUCACCAAGGCGACGAUCUCUAGCUGGUCUGAGAGGAUGAUCAGCCACACUGGGACUGAGACACGGCCCAGACUCCUACGGGAGGCAGCAGUGGGGAAUAUUGGACAAUGGGCGCAAGCCUGAUCCAGCCAUGCCGCGUGUGUGAAGAAGGCCUUAGGGUUGUAAAGCACUUUCAGGAGUGAGGAAGGGUGUACGGUUAAUACCCGUAUAUUUUGACGUUAGCUCCAGAAGAAGCACCGGCUAACUCUGUGCCAGCAGCCGCGGUAAUACAUAGGGUGCAAGCGUUAAUCGGAAUUACUGGGCGUAAAGCGCGC